UCAUGUGGGGCCUGAUUCAGAGCCCACUGCAGUCAAUGGGAGUCUUCCCAUUGAUUUCAGUGGGCUUUGGAUCAGGGCCUUGG
rnacentral:pre_miRNA from 1 species